ensembl:lncRNA
AGUUUUAUAAAGGGUGAGUGUUUAAUAAGGGGUGAGUGUUUAAUAAAGGGUUAGUGUUUAAUAAAGGGUGAGUGUUUUAAUUAAGGGUGAGUGUUUAAUAAGGGUGAGUGUUUAAUAAGGUUAGUGUUUAAUAAGGGGUGAGUGUUUAAUAAGGGGUGAGUGUUUAAUAAGGGGUUAGUGUUUAAUAGGGGGUGAGUGUUUAAUAAGGGGUUAAUGUUUAAUAAAGGGUCGGUGUUAAUUAAGGGGUGAGUGUUUUAAUAAGGGGUUAAUGUUUAAUAAAGGGUCGGUGUUUAAUAAGGGGUAAU